GACAGAGGGGGCAAGCGUUGCUCGGAAUUACUGGGCGUAAAGGGUGCGUAGGCGGCGCGGUAAGUCGGGUGUGAAAUCUUGGAGCUUAACUCCGAAACUGCAUUCGAUACUGCCGUGCUUGAGGACUGGAGAGGAGACUGGAAUUUACGGUGUAGCGGUGAAAUGCGUAGAUAUCGUAAGGAAGACCAGUGGCGAAGGCGGGUCUCUGGACAGUUCCUGACGCUGAAGCACGAAGGCCAGGGGAGCAAACGGG
rnacentral:rRNA from 1 species